rnacentral:lncRNA from 1 species
UACUAUUUAAUCAUCGCAUUUGAUCGUGUGUAGGAUCUGAAAGGAGGAGCUGUGUUGAUAUUGAAUUCUGUUCUUUUUCGUCAACAAAAUUAUUGGCAAAAAUGGAGAAAGACAAUUCCAUUACAAUUUUGUAAGAACGUGGAAAAAUGGACCUAUAUACUUGAAUAUAAUACAAAUAGCCAAAAGAUGUUGAACCAAAAAAGUUACAUUGGGCAUUUAUAAUACAGUGAAAUACACUCACAUGAUAUGACACAAGGUAUUGAAACCUGAAAUUAUACUCUUGUAAACAAGUUCAUAUGAAUGGAGAAUUAUAUACGAAGGGUUGUGAGUCGCCCACAUCAUAUCUCCAUAAGUAAAUCCCUCAAGUAUACAUAGGAGCAAAUUGCUCUGUAUAAAUGUGAACACGGAAAAUUCCUGAAACGAAAGAGACAAGAAACGACGCGCACAAACAAAUAUUAAGUAUUUGAUGAUUUUGGGUUACAAUCUCUCUCAAAUUUGAUCCUCUGAUUCGAUCUCCGUAAGGUGUUGAUUGGUGGGUGUUUCGUUGAUCCAAGGGCCGUCGAGGCUUAAUCUUGGAUGAACAGUUGGAAGUUUCUUCAAAGGGCCGUGGGCUUGAUCUUUGAAGGUGGAUUUGAGCGGAUCUUCAAGGGCUUUUGGGCUUGAUCUUUGAAGAACAGUGAUGAACGGAUCUCCAAGGGCUUUUGGGCUUGAUCUUGAAGAACAGUGAUGAACGGAUCUUCAAGGGCUUUUGGGCUUGAUCUUGAAGAACGGUUGGAUGUGUGGAUUUUGUCGACGUUGUUGAUCCAAAGGGCCGUUGGGGCUUGAUCUUGGAUGAACGGAUGAUGAACGAUGGUGCUUUCUUCAAGGGCCGUCGGGCUUGAUCUUGAAUUGGUGGAUGAUUGUUGAUCCAAAGGGCCGUUGGGGCUUGAUCUUGGAAGAACGAUGAACGAAGAACGAAGAACGCUUUCUUCAAGGGCCGUCGGGGCUUGAUCUUGAAGGUGGAUGAUUGUUGAUCCAAGGGCCGUCGAGGCUUGAUCUUGGAAAACGAUGAACGAAGAACGAAGAACGCUUUCUUCAAGGGCCGUCGGGGCUUGAUCUUGAAGGUGGAUGAUUGUUGAUCCAAGGGCCGUCGAGGCUUGAUCUUGGAAGAACGAUGAACGAAGAACGAAGAACACUUUCUUGAUUCUUCGGGAACCUGGAUGCUUGAGAGCUUCGGAGUUUCAGAGCUUCAGAGCUUCAGAGCUUCAAGGUGUAAUAUCAAUUGGUUCCCAAAUGAAUGAAAUUGGGCUUGUAUUUAUAGAAUUUUCCAAGGCCUAAUUUUGAAUAUAAUAUUCCAGAUGAAAUAAGUCGUUUCUGCCAGGUAUUGACACGUGUCCUAUUUGAUGACUUUUCCAACUCAUUUCAAUUUUCGUUGAGUCACAUGCUACAUGUAAAAUUUAUGUAAUACAUGAGCGUUGACACUUUGAUUUAUCGGUCAACAUUUAUUUACCGAAAUUUCGAUGUCUACAAAUGCCCCCACUUCAAGGCACGUCGUAUACAUGUGCUUGUCACGUGUAGGAGAUGCGUUUUGAAGUCCCUUACUGUAGAUGUCGAUCCAAGGGCCGUCGAGGCUUGAUCUUGAAUUGGGCUGGAGAUUUCUUCAAGGGCCGUUGAGGCUUGAUCUUGAAUUGGGCUUGAGAUUUUUUCAAGGGCCGUUGAGGCUUGUUCUUGAACUUUUGUUUGAAAUUUCUUCAAGGGCCGUCGAGACUUGAUCUUGAAGGUUGAAAUUGGACCACAAGGAGCUUCAUGUGGUAGAUGAUUUUUUGCUUUGGUAGUGGACGAAUCGGCACGUAUUUUGUUGCGCUUGUUGACCUUCCACAGCUUUGAUCUUGAACUGGGUUGGAGGUUUUUUUUCUAGAUUCCUCCAAUUGUUGAUAUUUCCACAGCUUAUUCUGGAACUAGGUUUUGAUUCAAGGUGGUAGACACUUAGUCUUGAAUCGGACUUGUGAUUUCCUCAAGGGCCGUCGAGGCUUGAUCUUGAAUUUGGCUGGAAACUUCUUCAAGGGCCGUUGAGGCUUGAUUCUUGAAGGUUGACUCGAACACAUGGCAAGCAGGCACGAGGUAAAGGUGACAACCUGUUUCUUUGUUCAAUCUUUCUAAUUCACACCUGAGCAGUUUGGUCAACGGUAUGAUCUUCAAGAUUGAUGGGCUUUUCUUCCAGUCGGUGACUUGAUCUUUAAGGAUUCGAUUCAAGGGUGGUGAAUCGACACGUGCAGCUCACAACGCCUAGUAAGUCGACCCAAGAAUUUGAGGGUCAAAACGAGUCCUUCACACAGAGUGAUUGCAACUUUGAUGAUAUGAGAUACUUUUGAUUUUGAAGAAGUAGCGGAUGAAUCGGCACGUGCUUUGUGCUUGUCUCCACAUGCUUCAAUGUAUCAUUUCCCUUGCUAUUCUUAUCUAUUUUCUUUGAAUGCUUCUGCUGCAGAAUGUGGCAUUCUCAGUUCAGACUCCUUCUGCUGAGUUGAUUGUGCAUGCCGCAUUUCCUUAUUUGUUCUCCAGGCAGAUGUGGCAUCUUCUCGAGUUCUUCAGCUCGGACUCCUUCUGCUGAGUUGACUGUGCAGGCCGCAUUCUUCUCUGCUUGUUUCUUCAGCACGUUGUCUCCACAUGCUGCAAGGUAUCAUUUUCACUUGCCUUAUCUGUUCUCCAGGCAGAUGUGACAGCUUCUAUGGAAGUACAGCAGCAGUGGGAGACGAGUACUCGAGAGCAGUGCUAGGCAGGCAAUCAGGGAAGGGUUCCAAGCAGUCGGUUCCUUACCCGAGUUUGAGUGGAAGUUCCGGCAUAUUGUUUUCUUUAUCCUUGUCUUUGUAGGUAGGAGCAAGGACAAAGGAAACGACAGGGAGAACGCAUGAUAUGAGAUACUCUUGCUUUCUACCCUGGUGAUAUGAGAUACUUUUUGCUUUGAAGUUAUUGGCUUACAGAGGUACCCCAAGGAAUAAGGAACACUAAGUGACUCGAGAGGCUUCGUUGGGAAGGCAUUCUCGGAGAUGAAGAAAGGUUCUGUAUGUCUGCCUCGCUAUGGAAGGUGAAGGUGGACAGUUAUAGGAGGUCCCUUAAUACCUGUAGAGGUACUAUUCUUUCACUUGUGUCGGCAACUAACGCGUGAUUGAACAGUAAACUUUCACGUGCUUUCUCCUUCACCGAAAAUCUUCGACAAAUUGCCCGUGAUUUGCGCAAAGUUGAGUGUGCAUAUGACAGGUGAUGAUGCGGCUGAAAAAGACUAGCGCCUCUUCGAUAUCUGGGAUCGGCGCUUCGACAAAUUACCCGUGAUUUCCGCAAAGCUGAGUUUGCGUGUGACAGGUGCCGACGUGUCUGGAAAAGCAAGAUGCUUCUCCGAUUUCUGAGCUUGCCUCUUCGAUUUUUGAAUGGCCUCUUCGAAUUCAGAGCUCGCCUCUUCGAUCUCUGAAAUCCCGUCGAGUGCUGAUUUUUUUUAUAGAGGCAGGCAGUUCAUUUCUUCAAAGCACACUUGAAUUUUUGCUUGUACCUUCUUGCACUUCUAAGAUCUCGAUUUGUCCGACCUCUUCUUUCUUUAACACCUUUGAAAAUGUCUGGCCCAUCCGAUCGUCGUUUUGACUUGAAUCUUGGUGAAGAGGCAGUCCCUUCUUCUCCAGACAACAUAUGGCGCCCAUCCUUCAUAUCCCCCACUGGUCCUCUUACCGUUGGGGAUUCAGUGGUGAAGAAUAAUAUGACUGCUGCGGUGGUGGCCCGGAACCUUGUCACUCCCAGAGAUAACAGACUACUUUCCAAACGGUCUGAUGAGUUGGCUGUUAAGGAUUCUCUGGCUCUCAGUGUGCAGUGUGCAGGUUCUGUGUCUAAUAUGGCCCAACGCCUAUUUGCUCGAACCCACCUGUCAAGUUGAAUCAUUGGCGGCGGAAGUGAUGAGUCUCAAACAGGAGAUUAGAGGGCUUAAGCAGGAGAAUAAACAGUUGCAUAAGCUCGCACAUAGCUAUGCGACAAACAUGAAGAGGAAGAUUAACCAGAUGCAGGAAUCUGAUGGUCAAAUUUUACUUGAUCAUCAGAGGUUUGUGGGUUUGUUCCAGCAGCAUUUGCCUUCGUCUUCUGGGGCUGUCCCGCGUAAUGAAGCUCCAGAUGAUCAACCUCCGGCUCCUCUUCUUCCUGGAGUUUCGCCGAGUGAUAAGGCGCCACCUGAUCAUCCUUGAAGAUCCCCUCCUGUAAAUUUGAUUUGACUUUUUUUUUUUUUUUUUUUUUUUGUACUGAUGUAAAAUGUACAUUUUUUUGUAAAUUUUCAAAGAAAUCAAUAGAUGAGCCUUAUUUCAUUCUUUGUGUGUGUAUAUAUAUAUAUAUUUAUUUAUUUAGUGCCAAAAGCAUAAAGAAACUUUUUUCUUUUUUUUUUUUUUUUUUUUUUUUUUUUUUUUUUUUUUUUUUGCAGAUGGUGCGUAAUGCACCGUCUUUUUAUUAUAUAUGUAUAUAUAUAUUUUUAAUCAUUGUGCACCCAUUUUUUAUUUAUUUUUUUAUUUUUUUAUGGUUGCAGAGCACCAAACAUCAAACAUUUUUUUUCUUUAAUCAUGGUGCCAGACGCACCAAAGAUAAAACCCUUUUUUUUUUUCGGUGGUACUCACACAUACCAAAUCAAAAUUUUUUUUUUUAUUAUAUUUUCUUCUUUGCUUUCGGUGGUGCUCACACUCACCACCACUCAUACCACACCACCAUCCUUCAAUCAAUGAUUCCUGUCAUCAUUUAAAAAAAAAAAAAAAUUAUUAUUAUAUAUAUAUUUUUUUGCUUUCUGUGGUGACACUCACCACCACUCAUACCGCACCAUUUUUUUUUUUUUUUUAUAAUUAUUAUUAUUAAUUUUUUUUAAUUAUUAUAUAUACAUACAUAUACAUAUACAUAUAUAUAUAUAUAUGUAUGUUCGCUGCAUGGGAUGAAGGGCGGCCAUCUGCCGCGGGGGUGGAAGCUUACAAAGAGCAGGCGAGGAUGACGGAUGAAGCAUGCACAGAAGCUGGAGCAGCGGGGGCUCUCUUCAAAGCAGUUCUCGCGACCCGCAAGGUCUUUUCCGGGUCGGAUGGUCUCAGCCCCAGGAUUUGGACCAAAGGGUGUUCCUCGCGAUUUGGAAUGAGAUCGCAGCGAUCGGGAGGAGUGACAGUGAGUGAGGAGGGAGAGGGUCGAUGGGCAGGAGAGGAUGCAAGUCCCACGGUACAGUAGCGAGGCAAAAGAAGGACUUCGAACCCAAGACCCUCGAACUGAGCGGAGGCAAGGUAGGGACGACCUCGAUGGUGGAGGAGAUGGUGACUUGGGCUGAGCGUGUUCAUGGGGAAGAACGUGGAUGAUGAGCAAGACCCGAGCUUCAACAACCAUUGAGCUUUAACGGCUUCAACCCUCGAAGUUCAAGAACGGCGCUACCAUCCACGUCACCUAUGUCAUGUCGAACUGGAUGUCGCAGAGACGGCGGAGAGAAGGCAGAGAGGAUCCUCGUUCCAUUUUGACAAUGGUGUGGAUUGGUGUGCCCAGCUGCAUCGCCUGGUGGAUCGCGGUCGGAGUUGGCGAGAGGUUGGAGUGCCAGAGAUUUACCGCAUCCUGUCCACGUACUCCUGCAACGGCAUGGCUGCUGCUUCUUCAAUGGAGGAGUUUCUCAACGGCGGAGAGCGGGGAAGAUGAUCCAAAGGGCAGGAGAAUGAUGAGAUGGGCAUGGGGUUACUGACAGAUCCGAACCCGCCAGAAAACCAGAUUUGAAAACGCGACGUGCACUGCCGGAGAGGCUGACACGUUGGCUGUCGUAGCUGCAGCGAUGGCGGCGGUGCCAUGUAGUUUGGAUGGAGAACAUGACGAUGGAGAAGAGGAUGACUGUGGAGAUGGCACGACGUGGCGUAGUGGAUGAUGUGUUGGCGGAGGAAGAUGCAGCGGUGGCUUAGCGCUUCUGGAUUUGCUUCUGCUCGAUCUCGGAGCGCUUUGAAGAAUCGCUUGCUGCUGGUGUCUUCUUUGAGCCUCUGCCGAACUCCUUUGUUAGGAAUUAGUUGUUCUUCAUUGCAAUCUUCCAGAUCAGUUGUCCCGGAACGGUAGCCAUCGCACUUAGAUUCUGUCUUGUAGUUGCAGAGAGACUGAGUGAGAGAGGAGGCAAGGCUUGGAGUCGUACUGGGUCUCUGACGGUGGUUCUGACGGCGUAGAAAUCAAGCCCGCCGGAGCCGUCGAGUGUGAAUUCAGCGAGAGUGGCGGGCGGGGUGGCUCCGUUGCCUGAGCACUCCAAUUUUCCUGAGCUGCAGUCGGCUGUGAGGCAGGAGAAUUUUCCGACAGAGUCGUGGGAGCAGAAGGUUCGGCCCCAGAAGCGGUUGCCGGAAUCGGGUUGCGUCGGCGGAGAAGUCAAGUUCGAAGCUGUGGUCGUUAACUAGCAGAGGCUGCAUGUUCCUGCUCUGCACCAGAACGACGCCGUCCGCGCCGCAGCUGUUCUGCUCCUGAGCUUCUUCAAGUUUCGGAUCCAAAGCCCGUAGUCCAGAUCCAGAUACGGAUCCAUUUCCUGGAACAAGCACUGCCCCGAGUUCAGAUCUGGAUUUUCCACCGCCUUGGGGUUCGGGAGCAGCCACGAGGCCGCGUGGAUCUUGGAGUUGCAGUUGACGCAGAGGAAGGCGGAGUCGGUGCGGCAGUACAGAGUCGCCGUCGCCGAUUGGCAAGAGUCGCAGAGCUUUGAUGCCAUGACCGAAAUCUGCUGAGGUGGUAUUGCAGCUAUUGACGAUGAUCAGGAGAGAUCGACGGUGACUUUAAUGUCGGAUCCUGACAGGGAGGAAGAUGGCAAGGUCUUUUGGGCUUCUUGCCGGGUUUGGUCUUGGCAUCUGGGCCUGUGAAAUAAAAGGAGGCCCGGGCUCUUACUCCCUUUCUAUUGGUGGAGACGAGGCUUAGGGCCGAGUGAGGAUGAGAGCUGAGCUCGCUAGGGAGAAAGAGCUGCGAGAGACUUGGGCUUUGACAGCCGAGCCUGGGUUGAUCUGGUUUUGGACACGGGCUGCUUCUGAGGCCCUUUAUAUAUAUAUAUAUAUAUAUAUAUAUAUAUAUAUAUAUUAAUACAUAAAACAUAUGUUUUUUUUUCUUCUUUUUUUUUUGUAAAUACAUAAAACAUGUAUCUCUUUUUUUUUUUUUUUUAAUUAUUUUUUUUACAUAAUAACAUACGUUUCUUUUUUUUUAAAUACAUAAUAACAUAUGUAUUCAUUUUUUUUUUAAAUAAAAUUGACUCUAUUUAAUAAAGCAUUUAUUUUUUAUUUUGAUGUGACUGAACUUGUAAUUGAAUAUUCAAGCUACCUACGUACCCUUCCAAAGAAAGAGAUCAAGUCAAAACGUAGUUCAAAUACAUACAUAUAUAUAUUUUUUUUUUGGUAUUUUUCUUUUUUUUUUGUGCCGUUUGCAGUUUCAGCUCGUGCAGACAAGGAGCUUUGGGUUGUCGCCUUUUAGGCUCGUGCAGACCAGGAGCUUUGGUGUUGCCUUUUAUGCUCGUGCAGACCAGGAGCUUUGGUUCGUGCAGUUUUAGGCUCGUGCGAACAAAGAGCAUUUGGUGCCGUGUUGCAGUUUCAGCUCGUGCAGGCAAGGAGCAUUUGGUGCCGUGUUGUAGUUUCAGCUCGUGCAGACAAGGAGCUUUGGGUUGUCGCCUUUUAGGCUCGUGCAGACCAGGAGCGUUGGUGUUGCCUUUUAUGCUCGUGCAGACCAGGAGCUUUGGUGUUGCCUUUUAUGCUCGUGCAGACCAGGAGCUUUGGUUCGUGCGUGCAGUUUUAGGCUCGUGCGAACAAGGAGCAUUGGUUGGUUCGUCAAGCGAUCUGAGAAAGUCGUUCCUCGCAAUCUUCAUAGCAAGGAGCUUUGACCGUGUGUUUGAAGAAGUUUUCGGGCGGGCAAGAAGUCGCGCAUCGUGAUGGGGAUGGACAGUCUAUGUGUGUCGAAAUUUCAUCAUCUUCAACACGUUCACGUUGCUUUGAAGGUUGACAAGAGCUGCUUUGCCCCCUUUCCGAUUGGCGGACUUGUGGAGGAGACAUAUGUUUCUUGUGCAAUUUCUUAGGAGUGACUUGAGUCCAUCCUUCUACUUUGCUUGUCUUGGAGGAUGCCCCCAACGGUUGAGGUGAAACCUUUGAGUCGGAAGAGCCAGAAGUGAAGGUGGUACAGUUUGACUCCCCCACAUCGUCAAGAUCUAGCUCGAUGAUUCCUUUCUGAGCCAGCUUCAUGAUGAGAUCUUUCAGCACGAAACACUUUUCUGUCGGAUGACUGAUGAAGCGGUGGAAUUUACAGUAUCUUGGACUGUCAGUACGAUUCAUCUCUUCCGGCCGUCUGCACUCAGGCAAACUGAUCACCUUCUUGUCCAAUAGGUCAUCUAGCAUGGCAACCACAUCAGAGUCGGGGAAUGGAUAAGUCUUCUCCUCAAGCUCCUUCAAAGUGCGUCUACGCGUCUCUUGAUCACGAAAAGCUUCGGUUUGAAUCGCCUUGCCUCGUGUGGAUAUUUUGACGGGAGAUGUGUUGACCGUCAUCGCUUCCUUGGUGGGUUUCCAUGCAGCCUUUUCCACCUUUGUCCCAAGAGCUUUGUCGUUCUUGUAGUCGGCGAUCGGUUCUUUCUUCCCAUGAUGGGCGAUGCUCAACUCCAUGUCAUGGGCGCGAGAGUGGCCAAUUCCUCGAAGGUCCGCGGUUUAAUGCCUUGAAGGAUGUAUUGCAAACCCCAUUGCAUGCCUUGGAUGCACAUCUCGAUUGAAGAGGUUUCCGAGAGCCUGUCUUUGCAGUCGAGGCUUAAAGUGCGCCAUCUGUUGAUGUAGUCAAUGACUGGUUCGUCCUUCCACUGCUUUGUGCUUGUUAGCUCUAGCAUGCUCACAGUGCGGCGAGUGCUGUAGAAGCGGUUGAGGAAUUCCCGCUCCAAUUGCUCCCAACUGUUGAUGGACUCAGGCUCUAGGUCCGUGUACCAUUCAAAGGCGUUUCCUUUUAGCGAGCGCACAAACUGCUUGGCGAGGUAGUCCCCUUCGGUUCCUGCGUUGUUGCAAGUUUCAACGAAGUAGGCAAUGUGCUGUUUUGGGUUUCCCUUUCCAUCAAAUUGCAUGAACUUUGGUGGUUGAUAACCCCUCGGCAUCCUUAAGGCGUCGAUCUUCUUUGAAUACGGCUUUGAGUACAACCCGGAGGUAUUUGAGCUCCCUUCGUACUGUGCCUUGAUGGUGUUGGUGAUCAUCUUUUGCAGCUGCUGGAUAGAAAGAGAUCCCAUGAGUGCCGCUGCUUGGUCUGGCUCGGGCUUCCCAUUGAUUUUCUUCACCGGGGGUUCUUCGUCUCCGCCAGCUCCUCCCUUUAGUGGAUCAUCCUCUGGGUCGGGUUUAUCGCCGUCUUGUGCCUCCAAUCGGUUGACUAGUGCUGCAAUUUGCAAGUCUUUUUCUUCCACAAUUCGGGUUAGCCUUGCGAUUGCUUCAUUCAUUUGAGCCAGCUGCUCAUCGAUUGAAGUUGCUCCAAUGGUCAUGACUUGCAUGGCUGAACUGUCGCUUGAACCGGCAUCGGAGAGCAUGGAUUCGGAGUAUUUCCUUGGGCUUUUCCCCCUUGGUGCCCUUAGUGAGGCUAAGGUGAUCAAAGGCUCGUGCCUUGGGUGCUUUUGUUCCCUUGGCAGAGUUGAUGCAGAGGUGAAAGAGGCGGCAGAAGUAGCUCUUGCUAUGCUUCGAGUCGUGAUGCCCAAAGUGACACCAGUUGCGACGAGGACGCUUUUGUUCUUUGCGCCGGUUGCGGGAACAGUUUGAGCCUUCCUUGAUGCCAUUAAUUUUGGAAGCGCGCUUGAAUUUCUUGAACGGAGAAAGAGAGAUGAGAGGCAGAGAUUGUCCCACUGGGCGUGCCAAUUUGUGAACACGGAAAAUUCCUGAAACGAAAGAGACAAGAAACGACGCGCACAAACAAAUAUUAAGUAUUUGAUGAUUUUGGGUUACAAUCUCUCUCAAAUUUGAUCCUCUGAUUCGAUCUCCGUAAGGGUGUUGAUUGGUGGGUGUUUCGUUGAUCCAAGGGCCGUCGAGGCUUAAUCUUGGAUGAACAGUUGGAAGUUUCUUCAAAGGGCCGUGGGCUUUGAUCUUUGAAGGUGGAUUUGAGCGGAUCUUCAAGGGCUUUUGGGCUUGAUCUUUGAAGAACAGUGAUGAACGGAUCUCCAAGGGCUUUUGGGCUUGAUCUUGAAAGAACAGUGAUGAACGGAUCUUCAAGGGCUUUUGGGCUUGAUCUUGAAGAACGGUUGGAUGUGUGGAUUUGUCGACGUUGUUGAUCCAAAGGGCCGUUGGGGCUUGAUCUUGGAUGAACGGAUGAUGAACGAUGGUGCUUUCUUCAAGGGCCGUCGGGGCUUGAUCUUGAAUUGGUGGAUGAUUGUUGAUCCAAAGGGCCGUUGGGGCUUGAUCUUGGAAGAACGAUGAACGAAGAACGAAGAACGCUUUCUUCAAGGGCCGUCGGGGCUUGAUCUUGAAGGUGGAUGAUUGUUGAUCCAAGGGCCGUCGAGGCUUGAUCUUGGAAGAACGAUGAACGAAGAACGAAGAACGCUUUCUUCAAGGGCCGUCGGGGCUUGAUCUUGAAGGUGGAUGAUUGUUGAUCCAAGGGCCGUCGAGGCUUGAUCUUGGAAGAACGAUGAACGAAGAACGAAGAACACUUUCUUGAUUCUUCGGGAACCUGGAUGCUUGAGAGCUUCGGAGUUUCAGAGCUUCAGAGCUUCAGAGCUUCAAGGUGUAAUAUCAAUUGGUUCCCAAAUGAAUG